GCCUCUGUAGCUCAGUAGGAUAGAGCGGCGCUCUCCUAAAGCGCAGGCCGUCGGUUCGAUUCCGGCCAGGGGCA
rnacentral:tRNA from 1 species